GGCACAGUGUUACAACCCUUUCAUGCUUUCAGCUUUUCAACAAGUGUUUCCUACUGGUAAUCAUCAGUCUUUAGUUGAUAUGCUUAUGCAAUACAAGACUCAAACAACCGCUCCUCCUGUUCCUCCUCCCUCUGCCUAUGGGUUCGGUGGA
rnacentral:sRNA from 1 species